CACCUCUUGACAUAAUAUAAGAGGCCCAGCCUGCCCGGUGACAAAGUUUAACGGCUACGGUACCCUGACCGUACGAAGGUAGCAUAAUCACUUGUUCCUUAAAUAGGGACCUGUAUCAACGGCAUCACGAGGGCUGCACUGUCUCCUCUCUUCAAUCAGUGAAACUGAUCCCCCCGUGAAGAAGCGGGGAUUAAGCCAUAAGACGAGAAGACCCCAUGGAGCUUUAAACACGUGCUCACACUAUACUUACACACCCCUUAACUAAAAGCCCUGAGUACAAGUUUUAGGUUGGGGAGACCGCGGAGAACAACUAAACCUCCACGACAAACGGCCCUUAAGUCCUUAUCCACGAGUCACAGCUCUAAGAAUCAAUAUACUGAUGAUUAUGACCCGAUACCAUUCGAUUAACGAACCAAGUUACCCUGGGGAUAACAGCGCAAUCUACUUCGAGAGUCCAUAUCGACAAGUAGGUUUACGACCUCGAUGUUGGAUCAGGGUAUCCCUGUGGUGCAGCAGCUACUAAUGGUUCGUUUGUUCAACGAUUAAAAC
rnacentral:rRNA from 1 species